rnacentral:rRNA from 1 species
CACGUAGGGGGCUAGCGUUGCUCGGAAUUAUUGGGCGUAAAGGGCUCGUAGGCGGCCAACUAAGUCGGAUGUGAAAUCCCCAAGCUUAACUUGGGAACUGCAUCCGAUACUGGAUGGCUUGAAUCCGGGAGAGGGAUGGCAGAAUUCCCGGUGUAGCGGUGGAAAUGCGUAGAAUAUCGGGAGGAACACCUGUGGCGAAAGCGGCGCACUGGACCAUGAACUGACGCUGGAGGCGACGAAAGCUAGGGGAGCAAACAGGA